CUCCCCCAAACCUCAAUCGGGCCAUUCUCUCCCACAACAACACCAAAUUAAAACCCUAAUGAUAUUAAAAAUCCCACCCCCACCACACCCCUACCCCGCCGCCGACGCUCCAUCCCCACCACACCCCUCCCCGCCACUGACGCCCCAUUUCCACCACUGUCCUACCUCUGUUGCGCCCUUGCUGUCCACCCCCAGUACUAAAGGUGAGUCAUUUUUUUGCCAUUUUUUUUCAAUCUUAUUUCUAUCAUUAUUAGUAUUAAACCCACAUAAUAGGAUUAUGGGUUUGGAUUUACCAUCUGGUGGGCAUUUAACACAUGGUUAUUAUACAUCUGGUGGGAAAAAGAUAUCGGCUACUUCAAUUUACUUUGAGAGUUUACCUUAUAAGUUGGAUUCGACAACUGGAUAUAUUGAUUACGAUAGAUUGGAAGAGAAAGCGUUGAAUUUUAGACCUAAAUUGAUUAUUUGUGGUGGUAGUGCUUACCCAAGGGAUUGGGAUUAUAAAAGGUUUAGAGAAGUUGCUGAUAAAUGUGGGGCUCUUUUGCUUUGUGAUAUGGCUCAUAUUAGUGGACUUGUUGCAGCUCAGGUACUUUGUGUAGUUGGAGAUGUUUUUUUUUUUUUUUGCAUGACACAAAUGGGCUGUCCCUUUUGAGAAAGCAUUUAUGAUUGUAGAAGUACUUUGAUGAAUUGGACGUGUUGAUGAGUUGCAUUGUUGAUUUGGUUGAUGAGUGUGACUGGCAGGUGGGCUGCUGUAAAAGAGGGUAAAAAAUCCACUAAUGUGCCCUCCCCAAGAUCCUGAUAUAGCCUGGUAUACAAAGAUUGAGACUUGCUUAACUCCCUUACUUGAAGUUUCAAGUGAAGAAGAGGUGGCUGGUGGACAAUUGAAAAAGUGGCCUAAAAGAUUACAAGCGAUACCACCAAGGAUAAGCAGGGGUACUGUAACUUCAAUUGAUAAGUGUUUGAAUGUAGUUUUAAUUCGAAUUAGAAGUACUUUGAAGGUGAAUUUGAUUGUAGAAUGUAGUUUAUGGUUGUUUAAGUUUAUGAUGUUUAAGUGUUUCAAUGUAGUUGUAAUUUGAAUUAGAAGUACUUUAAAUUGGAGUUUGAGGUUGAAUUUGAUUGUAGAAGUACUUUGAUGAAUUGGAUGUGUUGAUGAAUUGCAUUGUUGAUUUGGUUGAUGAA